rnacentral:lncRNA from 1 species
GAGGAAAUGGCUAGUGAUGAGCUCAAAGAGAUGAGGAAAAACCUGACCAAAGAAGCCAUCAGGGAGCAUCAGAUGGCCAAGACUGGUGGGACCCAGACUGACUUGUUCACUUGUGGCAAAUGUAAAAAGAAGAACUGCACUUAUACACAGGUGCAAACUCGUAGUGCUGAUGAACCAAUGACAACAUUUGUUGUAUGUAAUGAAUGUGGAAAUCGGUGGAAGUUCUGUUGA